GGGCCCGUAGCUCAGCCGGUAGAGCAACGCCCUUUUAAGGCGUGGGUCGAGCGUUCGAAUCGCUCCGGGCUCACCA
rnacentral:tRNA from 1 species